GACACCAUCACCACCACCGCCACCACUGACACUGACGACUGCACUGCGAGAAAUAAUGGAAAGCAGGGAGGAGGCACAGCCAUGCCACUGCACUAAUUGGCACUCGUCCCUGCAACAAACCCAGUGAGCGUGAGGCUGAAAGAAUGCGUGAGUAUACAAACAUAUCAAGGGAAAUAAUGAGUGUUGAACCAAAUAUAAAGGCAGUGUGUGUGUGUGUGUGUGAUUCCCCUACGGUCGUCUGCUGGUCACCCAACCAGCCGUUCCCCUACGGAAAGAGCUCAGUGUUCAUAGUGACUGAUCUUUGGAUAGGACUGAGACCAAUGACACACCACUCACCGGGACAGCGAGGUCACAACCCCUCGGGUUACAUCCCGUACCUACUUGCUGAACCAGAACCUCACCCGCGCCUCCCCUGCUCGCAAACACGCUACGGCAGGAACGUCGCAGCCUUGGCAUCAGCGCUCCGCCUCACACCUCUCUGAACUCUCCACACACAACUCUGUCAAUAAACACGAGUCGCCUCUAUACCUGCAAGUGUGUCAUCUGUGCCUUCACUUCUACUGACACCUUGUAUCUAAAUAUUUGUUUUUUUCUUCAGCAUCACCAUUUUCGGCUCUUAAUCAUGAACAAAAUAUAACUGUCUAUCCACUGUUCUAUAAUAA